rnacentral:rRNA from 1 species
CCUACGGGUGGCAGCAGUAGGGAAUAUUGCUCAAUGGGGGAAACCCUGAAGCAGCAACGCCGCGUGGAGGAUGAAGGUGUUCGGAUUGUAAACUCCUGUUGUUAGAGAAGAGAAUGACGGUAUCUAACGAAUAAGCACCGGCUAACUCCGUGCCAGCAGCCGCGGUAAUACGGAGGGUGCAAGCGUUACUCGGAAUCACUGGGCGUAAAGAGCGCGUAGGCGGGAUAGCAAGUCAGAUGUGAAAUCCUAUGGCUUAACAAUAGCACUGCAUUUGAAACUGUUAUUCUAGAGUAUGGGAGAGGUAGGUGGACUUCUUUGUGUAGUGGUCAAAUCCGU